rnacentral:misc_RNA from 1 species
GUGAAUCAUCGAAUUUUUGAACGCAAAUUGCACUUUCUGGUAUUCCGGAAAGCAUGCCCGUUUGAGGGUCAGUGAAAACAAAAUCGGUGUGGCAGCUGAAACUAGUGGUGAAGAAUCGGACUUGAGUUGAUUUUGUCAUUUGGUAUAAGUGACAUAAAAAUCGAAAGUUUAUUGAACGUAUUUAAAUUAUAUACGUACGUUCAUA